CGCAAAUGUUCGCGGUGGAUUAGGUUCGCGCCUGGUUGUCGCGCUGGUGACUUCGUCGGUUGCGUGAGGCGCGCCAGAUGCCUCGUUCUGUGGGAAGCUCCAAGUGGAAGGGCGACAGCGGACCGCCUUCAUACUGUAGCCAAGAAUCUUUUGUUACAUUUUUAUUCAUAAGCUGUAAGUAAAUUGGAAAUGCCAGCUGGAUUAAAUCAAGAUGCUCAGAAGCUAUAUAAAUAUAUUACAGAAGAAAAAAAAUAAAGCUCCCUGUAAGAGAAGUUCCCACAUCUAUAUUCAACAUUGGAUAACUGCAGGAUCAUGCUGUAGCACUGAUGAUGCUCAUGUGUGAAACAACCUUCACAAGUUGAGGACGACCGAAUUUAUUUAUGAAUCACCUAACAAAAUCUCCAGCAGUUAAAUAUAAGGCAGCUCAUGCUGCUACCAAAUGAAGUUUUUUUAAUCUAAUUUUAUACAUAUCUGCUUUAAAAUAGGUGCAGCUAAGUGUGCUAAAUCUUAGGUAUGAGAUUGCAGGAUUUCAGUGUAAGGACUGCACAUUCUAACACAUUUUUAUAGAAGAAAUAGACAUUUCCACCUAGAUGAGCAUAGACUACUGCAAUGAUGCAUAUCUUUUUCAACACAUGAGAGAAAGCAACAGACCCCUAAAAGUAAACACUUCACUCAUUUUUCUUAAAGGCAAGCUAAUUAAUGUAGAGUUGCUUCUGAGAAACCAGGACAGACCAGCUCUAAACUGCAUACUGAGUUUUGAAAUGAAAUGGCUAUAAUAUUAGCAGAUACACUGCUUAAUCUGUUUAGCCACUGCAAGUAAUUCAUUUGGUGAGAAAUUGGUCAUGCUGUGGAAAACAAUUCUGAUGCUUUGGAAUUGCUGGUACAUGUGUGUGAGAGAGACAGAUGGCAAUGGAGAGUCGUCUGUAUUUCCACACCACUCCCUAACAUGUUGCAGUUGGUACAAAAAUCCCUGGCAGAACUCUUUGCCCUCUAGACAUCAGCCAGAGGGCAAAUCAUAUGCCCUCUGUCUCCGGAGCUUGCCUUUUUUUUUUUUUUUUUGGUGGGGGGGGAACCCAGAUGCUGCCCUGAACUAAACUGAUAGGUAAAGUCAAAACGACAACCGGAAUGCUAGAUGGCUUUUGCAGGUGUGUGGAAAGAUGGGCAAUUGCAGGAUUUCAAAUCCUAUUAAAGAUGGUAAAGCCAAUAUACUCUCCACCUUGCUUUAUAAAAACCCAGGGAAAAGGAAAGGAAAGAGACAAAAACGAAACGAAAUAAUCCAUUUCCCAUCUAAAAGCUGCAUUCCUCUUCACGCCGAAUUAGGAAUCAACUCUCG